UACAUGGGGUGCAAACGUUGCUCGGAAUUAUUGGGCGUAAAGCGCACGUAGGCGGCUAUUUAAGUCGGAUGUGAAAGCCCUCGGCUUAACUGAGGAAGUGCAUCCGAAACUGAAUAGCUAGAGUACGAAAGAGGGUCGCGGAAUUCCCGGUGUAGAGGUGAAAUUCGUAGAUAUCGGGAGGAACACCGGCGGCGAAGGCGGCGACCUGGUUCGAGACUGACGCUGAGGUGCGAAAGCGUGGGGAGCAAACAGG
rnacentral:rRNA from 1 species